CAUGUCCUAAUUCUCACUGUCUUGUAGCCUUAAGAACUCCUUAAAGGUGCCUCACUUUCUGUUCUCGUUGCAGUGUUAACUUUGCCAUCCAUGGAAGAGGAAUCUAUGUUCUAGUACCUUGGUCCUUGCCUUGUUCCCGUGCCUCGUUUCAUGACUUCCAAGCCGAGUUCAUGCCUUGUGACUCUCGAGUAUACCUUGCCUUGCUAACCUCGGUUCUACGAUUCCUUGGUGGUUGCUUUCCAUGUGGAGUACAGUUUGUGGAUUUCCAGCAUCUUGUUCCUGUUCCUUGCGACUUCUGGCUGAUCCUGUUUGGACGGUGUUUACAGACUAACUCUAGCUUCUUGGUGGAACUAACGUGUUCCAUUUGUGGAUUACAAUAUUGAAGGGCUUUAUUGGACUUGCUUCUGAACAGUUAAGGACAUUAUAUUAUGGACUAUUUGUCAGAGUAAUUUGCAGCACAGCAGUAGAUGGAGUCAGUGGAAUAGAUGCUAUUUGCUUCUGAACAGUUAAGGACAUUAUAUUAUGGACUAUUUGUCAGAGUAAUUUGCAGCACAGCAGUAGAUGGAGUCAGUGGAAUAGAGAACGAAGAGACAUCAGAGAUGAUGGUAAAACUUCAAUAUAUAUAUAUGGUCAUUUCAUAUAUAUAUGAAAAAAAAAGAAAACAUGUCAAUGUGAGUAGAUCAAUAGGGAAGGUAAGGAUGCUCCAUGCAGUCAUGCCAAUGGGCACAUGACCUUGGGGGUGUCUAUGGACAACGCUGGCUCUUCGGCUUAUAAAAAGGAGAUGGGCACCAACCCCGAGAGUCAGACAGGACUGGACUUAACGUCAGGGGAAAACCUUAUGAAGCCGGAAGGGAAAAAAAUUGCUUCUUCUCCCACUAACUUCCUUUUCUGCACUAAACAUAUUGCUCUUUUGUUGUAGAUUUCGGAUUUUGUUUUGUUUCCCUUUUUUGCAGUUCGGAAGACUUUGGUGGCAUUGGGAAUGGAGAAGGAGAACCUUGUAUUGACUCCGAGGACUUUUUGAUGUUUAGCCCAGGUUCAAGUGGAAGUGAAAAAAAAGAGAGAAAGAGAGAGACAGACACACAUGACAAGUUGUUUUUGAUCUUGCUCCCUGUUCGAAGGAAGUAGGAUCAGGACCUCCAGCUUACUUCUUAAGAGCAAAGGGGAGAAACUGGUCCAGAUAAUUUCACAGGUGAAACGGUUUUUCCCUCCAAGGAGUAGCACAGACUAACAAGGCACCUUAAACUUGCGUGGCACCCUUUGAAAAACCGCAGAGUUCAAAAGUCUGAAGCUCUCCAAGUUCCUAAGGAAGAUGAAAAAGGAGAAAAUAAAAUAGAACAACGGAGGUGGGAGGCAGAUGACAACAAGAGGUUGUUUUCCCUUAACCUCGCUGUGACCAAGCCGGGCAGGAUAAAAUGCACGGUCACAUGGCAGAUCGAAGGAAAAUCCUCGAAGACUGCAAUUACCAUGGAGGAGUGAUGGUCAUAAAAGCCGGUAUUAAGAGAUUUCAAACCAUUCUUGUGUGAUACCUACAUACUCUUUUCCCAUGCGAAUGAUCUUGUGAUAGCAAAUGUUAUGCUCAACUGGAUUCAACGAUGCCUCAACGCCCAUCCAAUAAAUUAGUCAAACCCAACCAAUAAAUACAUGAACAGGUGUGUCAUAACUGAUAUCGCAUUCGGCAAAAGUGUAUUUUAAGUUUAUACAACUGAAAUAAUGAUGGCGAGACAGUGUGAUAUAAUGGUGAUGGAUUAACUGAAUUGAAUUGCAAGAGUCUAUUUUGCCAUAUAGUCCAGUUCAAUGCAAAUAAUCUGCAUUCUGAAACUGGAUUAUAUGGCAGUGUAGAUCCAGCCUCAGAGACUAGGGUUCAAAACCCUACUGGGAACCUCCUUGGUGGUCUUGGGCAUGUUACACACUCUCAGCCUCAGAGGAAAGCAAAGGCAAUGCCUCUCUGAAUGAAUCUUGCCAAGAAAACACCAAGAUGGGUUAAUCUUAAGGUUACCAGAUGUUGGAGAUGUUGUGAAGGCACCCAGCAGAAACAUAUGAUAGAACGUUGUUGUUCUGUGCCCAACCUAUUUUUUUUUUUUUUUGGCAAUAUUGAACCAGAGAAUUGUUGUUGCCUCUAAAACCCAUGGAAUCCUUGUCCAAUACUCCUAUCCUGCAACAGUUGGACCAACCAAUAGUAUAGCUGUUGUACAACAGUCAAUCCAACUUCUCAUUCGUAAUGAAGG
ensembl:lncRNA